CACAGGGAUUGCCUCAGUAACGGCGAGUGAAGCGGCAAAAGCUCAAAUUUGAAAUCUGGCUCCUUCGGGGCCCGAGUUGUAAUUUGCAGAGGAUGCUUCGGGCGUGGCCGCGGUCUAAGUCCCCUGGAACGGGGCGUCGCAGAGGGUGAGAAUCCCGUCUUCGGCCGGCCGGCUUCGCCCAUGUGAAGCUCCUUCGACGAGUCGAGUUGUUUGGGAAUGCAGCUCUAAAUGGGUGGUAAAUUUCAUCUAAAGCUAAAUAUUGGUCGGAGACCGAUAGCGCACAAGUAGAGUGAUCGAAAGAUGAAAAGCACUUUGAAAAGAGAGUUAAACAGCAUGUGAAAUUGUUGAAAGGGAAGCGCUUGCGACCAGAGUCGGCCGCGGGGGUUCAGCGGGCAUUCGUUGCCCGUGCACUCCCCCGCGGGCGGGCCAGCGUCGGUUUCGACGGCCGGUCAAAGGCCCCCGGAAUGUGUCGCCUCUCGGGGCGUCUUAUAGCCGGGGGUGCAAUGCGGCCAGUCGGGACCGAGGAACGCGCUUCGGCACGGACGCUGGCUUAAU
rnacentral:rRNA from 1 species